CAGGGAGAGACAAAGAGAAUGAAAGAAAAGAAAAGAAAAGGCAGAAAGAGAAGACAAAGCUGGAUCCCGCGCGUUUUGCUUUGAUCUGACGGUACCGUUUUGCGAUUGUCUAUCUCUGUGGAUGAAGGCGCAAAGAAGAGACGAGAGAAGAGGAGAGAGGAAAGAAAAGUCUGGACAACUGAGUUUUCAUGUUCA
rnacentral:ribozyme from 11 species